CUCGGGCUUCUUGUCCUUCACCUCCUCCACCUUGAGGAUGUCGGCGUGGCCGAGCUUCUUGCGCAGGCACUUGACCAGGCAGACGGUGUCGACGCCGUCGCCGACCACCUCCAGCUGGUCCUUGCCGUUGCCGGUGACCCCCAUCGAGCUCACCCCUGCGUACACACACACGUAUUGGAACCGUUAGCACCGGCCAAAAGGAAUGCACGAGAGCUAGGAGAAGCAACUGAGCAUGCGUGGCCGGGGGGCGCGUCCGUACCGUCUGCUCUGGCGACGAGCUCCAUGGCCUUGGACCGGCUCUUCUCGGACGACAUGCUCACCUUGAUCACGAUCUUUUGCUGCAACAAAGAGCCACGGGACAGAGCAAUUAUCAGCGUCGAUCGUCACGAAGCAGAGGAACGCGAAAGAGCUACAGCGAGACGUUUCAAGUGGCUGGUUGCCUGCC
rnacentral:lncRNA from 1 species